rnacentral:lncRNA from 1 species
GUUCUGGGCAGACUCGGCGAUGCCGGAGGCUCUUUCUCCUGUCCUGCUCCAGCCUAAGCUUUCAGCAGGCCCCGUGUGACGUCAACAAAACGUGCCUUGCUUUCAUCAUGGCUGCAGUUUUCCCGGGAGAGCAUUUGGAUUCUGCCUUCUCGGAAGAAGAGCACCCACACAAGUGAAUUAAAAUAUAAGCUAAAUUCAGCCUUGUUCAAAUGUGCCUCCACAUCGUCUUUGCUCUGCUCCUCAUCCUCCACCCCACCCACACCCCCAGGAAGAAAGGAAGGCAAUACGAACUUAUUCAUGCUCAGAAGUAAAAUGAGCUUUGAAAUCCGUUUACUUCCUUGAUGUCUUUACUGACUGCUACUAAUACUGGUUGCACUGAAACCUGAACCCUGAUUAAAACUCUUCAGUACCCAACAGGGCCCUGCUCUACCCAAGAGUCUUUGAAAAAAGAAUCUGAAAAAGAAUGGAUGUGUGUACAUGUAUAACUGAAUCACUGUUGUACAACAGAAAUCAUCACGUUGUCAAUUAUACUUCAGUAAAACCUUAAAUGAAAAAAUAAAAACAAAAAACAACCCCCAAAACCCCUCUUCAAUAGCCAUGAAUUUAUGAUCUGAUGCAAACAUGGUUAUUUCUAUAUCCUAUAGAUUAGCUUUGCUAAAAUACUUCUCCAUGCUUUUUCUUCUGUUCCUUCUCUAGUUCCUUGCAACACACAUUCAAUGUAACCUGUAUCAUCUUCCUGCAAGAUGCAUUAUGCAGUUCGAAAAUCACAUGCCAUUUUUUAAAAAAUGAAAACAGCCGUUUCAGCUGAAAUCACCCAACACUUUUAUCCCAAGUUUCAUUUGAUGAUUCUAUAGAGUUAGAGUAACUGAGGAUCAAAUGUCUCUACCCUGCUUCCAAAGGCAACUCAUCACUGACUCUGUUUUGCCAAAGAAUUGAUUGUUCAGUAGGAAAAAAGGAAUAAAAUCUCAACAAGGUACAGUCCCAAUUAUGUACUCCUGGAUCACGUGACGACAUUAGCCAAGUCCUGGGAUCCUUUUGCUGCACUUCCUCCUAGAGCAGAGACUGUGAGUCCCUCCUUGGCUAUGCUAAGACCCAACAAAUGCUAAAUAUUGGUGGCAAUAAAUGCAGGUGGAAAAAGGCUCCAUGGAAGGCAGGCAUAACAGAGAACCUAUUUCAGCAUUUUACUCUCCACGUGUACUUCAAAUAAAACCUACGUGUGGGAGACAGAGUGAUGGCUCCCCAAAGAUGUCUGCACCCCCCAAAAAGAGACUUUGCAGACGUGCUUAAAGGAUCAUGAAAUUGAAGCACAGGAAGCAAGACCACGGGAUCUUGGCAUUAGGGAGGAAAAGAUGCUUUAAUCCAUAACUGAUUGCUCCUAUGCUGUCUCCAAAAAGAGAUUUGAUGCAAUGAUUUGUCUUUGAGAAGCAUUUCUGUCAUUCAAGCCCUCUCUUUAUUCUUUAGCAGCAUCCGUCUCCCAUGUCGGUCAUGGUCCAAACCCAAAGAUCGAUAGAUUCGAACACAGUCGACCUUUGUUAUAAGAACAGAGUUCAAGAGAUGGGCGGGCUAUGCCACAGUGGGCCCAAAAGGUGUUAGUCGUGAGCAUUGAUGUUUAAGACCUAAAGAUUGCUCUGCCUGCCAAGUGCCAGUCUCUAAAUGAUGCACCCAGGUGUUCUUGAGCAAAUCCAUUGUGUGUCCUUGUGAUGUGCAGAACCCUUGGAAGCAGAGACUCAAGCAGAUCUAAGGGUGGUGCUGUUUGACUUUUAGGGAGAAAUGUAAAAAAAGACCAGAUGUGCCUAAAAAUACACAUGGCUGCGUCUAUCUGUGUUUCCUCAUAUCCC